rnacentral:rRNA from 1 species
UACGUAGGGUGCAAGCGUUGUCCGGAAUUAUUGGGCGUAAAGGGCUCGUAGGCGGUUUGUUACGUCGGGAGUGAAAACUCAGGGCUCAACCCUGAGCGUGCUUUCGAUACGGGCAGACUAGAGGUAUUCAGGGGAGAACGGAAUUCCUGGUGUAGCGGUGGAAUGCGCAGAUAUCAGGAGGAACACCGGUGGCGAAGGCGGUUCUCUGGGAAUUACCUGACGCUGAGGAGCGAAAGCAUGGGGAGCGAACAGG